ensembl:lncRNA
GUUUAUCUCUUGGUGUGGUAUCUCCGUAAUGGUGAGCUGUGUGGUAUCUCCAUAAUGGUGAGCUGUGUGGUAUCUCUGUAAUGGUGAGCUUGUUGGUAUCUGUAAUGGUAAGCUCUAGUAUCUCCAUAAUGGUGAGCUGUGUGGUAUCUAUAAUGGUAAGCUCUAGUAUCUCCGUAACGGUAAGCUGUGUGUUUAACUCUUGGUGUGGUAUCUGUAAUGGUAAGCUCUAGUAUCUCCGUAAUGGUGAGCUGUGUGGUAUCUCCGUAAUGGUGAGCUGUGUGGUUCUCUUGGUGUUGGUAUCUGUAAUGGUAAGCUCUAGUAUCUCCAUAACGGUGAGCUGUGUGGUAUCUCCAUAACAGUGAGCUGUGUGGUAUCUCCGUAAUGGUGAGCUGUGUGGUUCUCUUGGUGUUGGUAUCUGUAAUGGUAAGCUCUAGUAUCCCCGUAAUGGUGAGCUGUGUGGUGUCUCCAUAAUGGUGAGCUGUGUGGUUAUCUCUUGGUGUGGUGUCUCCAUAAUGGUGAGCUGUGUGGUUAUCUCUUGGUGUGGUAAUGGUAAACUGUGUGGUUAUCUCUUGGUGUGGUAAUGGUAAACUGUGUGGUUAUCUCUUGGUGUGGUAAUGGUAAACUGUGUGGUUAUCUCUUGGUGUGGUAAUGGUAAACUG